AGGCAGCAGUCGGGGGAAUAUUGCACAAUGGGCGCAAGCCUGAUGCAGCCAUGCCGCGUGUGUGAAGAAGGCCUUCGGGUUGUAAAGCACUUUCAGUUGUGAGGAAGGUGGUGUCGUUAAUAGCGGCAUCAUUUGACGUUAGCAACAGAAGAAGCACCGGCUAACUCCGUGCCAGCAGCCGCGGUAAUACGGAGGGUGCGAGCGUUAAUCGGAAUUACUGGGCGUAAAGCGCAUGCAGGUGGUUUGUUAAGUCAGAUGUGAAAGCCCGGGGCUCAACCUCGGAACUGCAUUUGAAACUGGCAGACUAGAGUACUGUAGAGGGGGUAGAAUUUCAGGUGUAGCGGUGAAAUGCGUAGAGAUCUGAAGGAAUACCGGUGGCGAAGGCGGCCCCCUGGACAGAUACUGACACUCAGAUGCGAAAGCGUGGGGAGCAAACAGGAUUAGAUACCCUGGUAG
rnacentral:rRNA from 1 species